rnacentral:lncRNA from 1 species
GCGCACACUGGGACACUAUGAUGAGGCUAGGUGAGUGCACCCUGGGGCACUAUGAUGAGGCCGGGUGAGUGCACACUGCGACACUAUGGUGAGGCUAGGUGAGUGCACACUGCGGCACUAUGAUGAGGCCGGGUGAGCGUACACUGGGGCACUAUGAUGAGGCUAGCUGAGUGCACACUGGGGCGGUAUGAUGAGGCUCGGUGAGUGCACACUGGGACACUAUGAUGAGGCUAGGUGAGUGCACGCUGGGGCACUAUGAGGCUCGGUGAGUGCACACUGUGACACUAUGAUGAGGCUAGGUGAGUGGAUACUGCGGUACUAUGAUGAGGGCAGGUGAGUGCACACUGGGACACUAUGAUGAGGCUAGGUGACUGCACACUGGGGAGGCUAGGUUAGCGCAUACUGGGACACUAUGAUGAGGCCAGGUGAGUGCACACUGGGGCACUAUGAUGAGGCUAGGUGAGUGCACACUGGGGCACUAUGAUGAGGCUAGGUGAGUGCACACUGGGGCACUAUGAUGAGGCUAGGUGAGUGCACACUGGGACACUAUGAUGAGGCCGGGUGAGUGCACACUGGGACCCUAUGAUGAGGCCGGGUGAGUGCACACUGGGACCCUAUGAUGAGGCCGGGUGAGUGCACACUGGGACACUAUGAUGAGGCUAGCUGAGUGCACACUGGGGCACUAUGAUGAGGCUAGGUGAGCGCACACUGGGACACUAUGAUGAGGCCGGGUGAGCGAACACUGGGACACUAUGAUGAGGCUAGGUGAGGGCACACUGGGGCACUAUGAUGAGG